rnacentral:rRNA from 1 species
ACUCAAAGGAAUUGACGGGGGCUCACACAAGCGGUGGAGCAUGUGGCUUAAUUCGAGGCUACGCGAAGAACCUUAUCCUGGGCUUGACAUGUUCGAAAGAGGCAGCAGGUAGGACCCGGAAACGGGGACGAACGGUAUCCAACCCGGAAGCUGCCACAGGUGCUGCAUGGCUGUCGUCAGCUCGUGUCGUGAGAUGUCGGGUUAAGUCCCAUAACGAGCGAAACCCUUACCCUUAGUUGCGACGCGUAAGCGGCACUCUAGGGGGACUGCCGGUGUCAAACCGGAGGAAGGUGGGGAUGACGUCAAGUCCUCAUGGCCUUUAUGCCCAGGGCUGCACACGUGCUACAAUGGCGUGGACAGAGGGACGCGACUACGCGAGUAGAAGCCGACCCCCGAAAGCACGCCCCAGUUCAGAUCGCAGGCUGCAACCCGCCUGCGUGAAGCCGGAAUCGCUAGUAAUCGCGGGUCAGCAACACCGCGGUGAAUGUGUUCCUGAGCCUUGCACACACCGCCCGU